rnacentral:piRNA from 1 species
UAUUUUUGAAACCCUGUAUUACGAAAGAA